CUAUUGAUUGCACUGUCUCUGACUAUAAUCUAAUCACAAUAUUAUCAUUUUGCAGGACUGGAGCUUCCUGUUGUACAAAUGAAAAUUUUUCCCAAAGAAGUCUGGUGUUUGUAAGAAGAGAUCUUUCCAAAAGUGCACAGGAUCUUGUGGUCAGGAAUAGCACUUCAGAGUGAAGAAAUUGUUAGAACCAACGCAAUCUAAUCUGCUCAAAAAGGACCCACGUUUGUUUCAGGAGUGAUUUUCCUUGGACAUCAGUGAUUAAUGGAAACUCCAGAUCACUCCAGUAAAAUGCAGUCUCACAAGGAAGAACCUGCAACCUCUCAGAGAUCACAGUCUUAAAAAGGAUCCAAACCCAGUGAGCAACUGCAUCUUCCACAAGUGAAACCUGUCCAUCUUCUAAAAUCAUCUCAUGGGGAGGAGAUGUCCACAGUAACAGCAACCAGCUAUAACAGCAACCCAGGAGAAGCUAUGGCUAAGGCUCCACAUCAGAAAACAUCUCCUGCUUGUGUAAGCCCAUGAUCCAACAGUCACAGUACCUGCUGAUUGAAAUGGUGAGGAAGAUUUGGGAACAGGAGCCUAAGUAUGGUGCCAAGUGAUAAUCACUGACCUCGAUGGGCCCUGCAAGUGCACCCUGAAAACUCAUCCAUUUUGUGUUUCUUCUGCCCCAGAGAGUACAAAGAGGAGGCCCCACCAUGGAGGUGACAGCACCUGGAGCUCAAGGAUGCUGCUGUGGUGAGCCCUGCAGCUCCCAGCCCAUCCCUGCACGUCCCGCACGGAUCCUGCCCCACCGGGAUCCGCACAGGAAGGGUGGGGCGGGCUCCUCACCUCCUGUCUGCCGAUAGCACAUCCUGAACCAACGCUGCCCCUUUUCCUCCUUCCACACAGCCCCGGCGGAAAGGAAAAGGAGAACAGCCACUGGGGAGGCGCCUCGGCUCCCACGGACACACGCGAGCGAGGGAGACCAAGGAGAGAUGGGCAGGGACUGCACCCAGCAUGGAGCCAUGGAACCUCCCUGAGCAGAGACUGCACCCAGCACAGAGAGACUGCACCCAGCAUGGAGCCAUGGAACCUCCCUGAGCAGGGACUGCACCCAGCAUGGAGAGACUGCACCCAGCAUGG